CUGGGAAGUCCUCUGCACUGGUCACACGAGAGUGCGACUGAGUGGCUUGGCACAGCGACGGCGGUUCUAAAACCCCUGCAGUCCCAAGGCCACAUCAGUCCCUUCCAGGACGGCGCCCGACGGAACUGGCCACUGGGCGUCCACCUCUGGCUGGAAAGGCCCGAGACUGGCAACAGGGAGGGAGGAGCUGCUGUGUGUUUCUCCAGAUAAAAACGGACGGUCUAUCUCUGCUCAAGUUGGAGCUUAUGAACCCUGAGAUCCUUUCUGGAAACGAGUCCAAGA